UACGGGGGGAGCAAGCGUUGUUCGGAUUUACUGGGCGUAAAGGGCGCGUAGGCGGCCACUGCAAGUCAGUUGUGAAAUCUCCGGGCUUAACCCGGAAAGGUCAACUGAUACUGCGGGGCUAGAGUGCAGAAGGGGCAACUGGAAUUCUCGGUGUAGCGGUGAAAUGCGUAGAUAUCGAGAGGAACACCUGCGGCGAAGGCGGGUUGCUGGGCUGACACUGACGCUGAUGCGCGAAAGCUAGGGGAGCGAACGGG
rnacentral:rRNA from 1 species